ensembl:lncRNA
UGACACUAACUAGCCCCAGGCUGGCUAUUAACUAGCGGAUCUACUCUUUUCUCUGCUGCAAAGUCAACAAUGAAGCAACUCGCUCUCCUGCUGCUCCUCAUCUCAGUGACCAGGGCGACCCCUUGCGCCGAGAGCGUGGGUGUUGCUGAACUGAAACUUGCCAUCCGUGACCUGCUGGAGAACUGGGAAGACACGUCCUACUCCCAGAGCGGCCAGAGCUACCAGAGCUACCAGAGCCUGCCCCGCAGCUGCAAGGAAAUUAAAGCCACCCGGGCCGGGGCUGGAGGUGAGUGCGGAGGAAGCAUCCCUGGACCUGCAGAAGCUGCUUUGCCUCUGCUGGGUGCCUGCUCCAGACCCAGUGUAAAGGCCACAGCUGGGUCCAGUCUGUUCAGAUGCAGCCGGGCAGCU